rnacentral:rRNA from 1 species
UACGGGAGGCAGCAGUGGGGAAUAUUGCACAAUGGGCGCAAGCCUGAUGCAGCCAUGCCGCGUGUAUGAAAAAGGCCUUCGGGUUGUAAAGUACUUUCAGUCGUGAGGAAGGUGUUAAGGUUAAUAACCCUAGCAAUUGACGUUAGCGACAGAAGAAGCACCGGCUAACUCCGUGCCAGCAGCCGCGGUAAUACGGAGGGUGCGAGCGUUAAUCGGAAUUACUGGGCGUAAAGGGCACGCAGGCGGUUAAUUAAGUUGGAUGUGAAAUCCCCGGGCUUAACCUGGGAAUGGCAUUCAAGACUGGUUAGCUAGAGUCUUGUAGAGGGGGUAGAAUUCCAUGUGUAGCGGUGAAAUGCGUAGAGAUGUGGAGGAAUACCGGUGGCGAAGGCGGCCCCUGGACAAAGACUGACGCUCAUGUGCGAAAGCGUGGGGAGCAAACAGGGAUUAGAUACC